rnacentral:pre_miRNA from 1 species
CCACUGGGAAGGAUUUGAUCAGUCAGGCUUCUGGUUAUUGCAGGACUCAUCUGGUCCUGGGUAUAACUAAGCCCGACUGUAUGGUACUAAAG